GUUCUCAUGAAGAGGAACAGUGACUUGACAUGCAGGAAGCUUUACAGAAAGGAAAAGAAAUCUGUGUUACUGACAGAAAAUCCCUGUAAUCGCCUACAUAAAUGAACCGAUAUCAGGAGUCAGAGAAGGUCAUCUGAAGACUAAAGAAAAGAAAAAAAAGAAUAUCAUCAUGUUCAGAAGAAAACGCAAAG